UGGGGAAUUUUGGACAAUGGGCGAAAGCCUGAUCCAGCAAUGCCGCGUGUGUGAAGAAGGCCUUCGGGUUGUAAAGCACUUUUGUCCGGAAAGAAAUCCUUGGCUCUAAUACAGUCGGGGGAUGACGGUACCGGAAGAAUAAGCACCGGCUAACUACGUGCCAGCAGCCGCGGUAAUACGUAGGGUGCAAGCGUUAAUCGGAAUUACUGGGCGUAAAGCGUGCGCAGGCGGUUUGCUAAGACCGAUGUGAAAUCCCCGGGCUCAACCUGGGAACUGCAUUGGUGACUGGCAGGCUAGAGUAUGGCAGAGGGGGGUAGAAUUCCACGUGUAGCAGUGAAAUGCGUAGAGAUGUGGAGGAAUACCGAUGGCGAAGGCAGCCCCCUGGGCCAAUACUGACGCUCAUGCACGAAAGCGUGGGGAGCAAACAGGAUUAGAUACCCUGGUAGUCCACGCCCUAAACGAUGUCAACUAGUUGUUGGGGAUUCAUUUCUUAGUAACGUGCUAACGCGUGAAGUUGACCGCCUGGGGAGUACGGUCGCAAGAUUAAAACUCAAAUGAAUUGACGGGGUCAUAGCUGUUUCCU
rnacentral:rRNA from 1 species